rnacentral:rRNA from 1 species
CGGAUAGGGGCGGCAGCUACACAUGCAAGUCGAGCGGAUGAAGGGAGCUUGCUCCCUGAUUUAGCGGCGGACGGGUGAGUAAUGCCUAGGAAUCUGCCUGGUAGUGGGGGAUAACGUUCCGAAAGGAACGCUAAUACCGCAUACGUCCUACGGGAGAAAGCAGGGGACCUUCGGGCCUUGCGCUAUCAGAUGAGCCUAGGUCGGAUUAGCUAGUUGGUGAGGUAAUGGCUCACCAAGGCGACGAUCCGUAACUGGUCUGAGAGGAUGAUCAGUCACACUGGAACUGAGACACGGUCCAGACUCCUACGGGAGGCAGCAGUGGGGAAUAUUGGACAAUGGGCGAAAGCCUGAUCCAGCCAUGCCGCGUGUGUGAAGAAGGUCUUCGGAUUGUAAAGCACUUUAAGUUGGGAGGAAGGGCAUUAACCUAAUACGUUAGUGUUUUGACGUUACCGACAGAAUAAGCACCGGCUAACUUCGUGCCAGCAGCCGCGGUAAUACGAAGGGUGCAAGCGUUAAUCGGAAUUACUGGGCGUAAAGCGCGCGUAGGUGGUUCGUUAAGUUGGAUGUGAAAGCCCCGGGCUCAACCUGGGAACUGCAUCCAAAACUGGCGAGCUAGAGUACGGUAGAGGGUGGCGGAAUUUCCUGUGUAGCGGUGAAAUGCGUAGAUAUAGGAAGGAACACCAGUGGCGAAGGCGACCACCUGGACUGAUACUGACACUGAGGUGCGAAAGCGUGGGGAGCAAACAGGAUUAGAUACCCUGGUAGUCCACGCCGUAAACGAUGUCAACUAGCCGUUGGGUACCUUGAGAGCUUAGUGGCGCAGCUAACGCAUUAAGUUGACCGCCUGGGGAGUACGGCCGCAAGGUUAAAACUCAAAUGAAUUGACGGGGCCCGCACAAGCGGUGAGCAUGUGUUUAAUUCGAAGCACGCGAAGAACCUUACCUGGGCUUGACAUGCUGAGAACUUUCCAGAGAUGGAUUGGUGCCUUC